UGACGUUAGCGGCGGACGGGUGAGUAACACGUGGGCAACCUGCCUGUAAGAYUGGGAYAACUUCGGGAAACCGAAGCUAAWACCGGAUAGGAUCUUCUCCUUCAUGGGAGAUGAUUGAAAGAUGGUUUCGGCUAUCACUURCRGAUGGGCCCGCGGUGCAUUAGCUAGUUGGUGAGGUAACGGCUCACCAAGGCAACGAUGCAUAGCCGACCUGAGAGGGUGAUCGGCCACACUGGGACUGAGACACGGCCCAGACUCCUACGGGAGGCAGCAGUAGGGAAUCUUCCGCAAUGGRCGAAAGYCUGACGGAGCAACGCCGCGUGAGUGAUGAAGGCUUUCGGGUCGUAAAACUCUGUUGU
rnacentral:rRNA from 2 species